rnacentral:rRNA from 1 species
UUAUAUUCUGUAGCAAGGUUAACCGAAUAGGGGAGCCGAAGGGAAACCGAGUCUUAACUGGGCGUUAAGUUGCAGGGUAUAGACCCGAAACCCGGUGAUCUAGCCAUGGGCAGGUUGAAGGUUGGGUAACACUAACUGGAGGACCGAACCGACUAAUGUUGAAAAAUUAGCGGAUGACUUGUGGCUGGGGGGGAAAGGCCAAUCAAACCGGGAGAUAGCUGGUUCUCCCCGAAAGCUAUUUAGGUAGCGCCUCGUGAAUUCAUCUCCGGGGGUAGAGCACUGUUUCGGCAAGGGGGUCAUCCCGACUUACCAACCCGAUGCAAACUGCGAAUACCGGAGAAUGUUAUCACGGGAGACACACGGCGGGUGCUAACGUCCGUCGUGAAGAGGGAAACAACCCAGACCGCCAGCUAAGGUCCCAAAGUCAUGGUUAAGUGGGAAACGAUGUGGGAAGGCCCAGACAGCCAGGAUGUUGGCUUAGAAGCAGC